rnacentral:rRNA from 1 species
UACGAAGGGGGCUAGCGUUGCUCGGAAUUACUGGGCGUAAAGGGCGCGUAGGCGGAUACUUAAGUCGGGGGUGAAAGCCCAGGGCUCAACCCUGGAAUAGCCUUCGAUACUGGGUAUCUUGAGUUCGGGAGAGGUGAGUGGAACUCCGAGUGUAGAGGUGAAAUUCGUAGAUAUUCGGAAGAACACCAGUGGCGAAGGCGACUCACUGGCCCGAUACUGACGCUGAUGCGCGAAAGCGUGGGGAGCAAACAGG